ACUUCUAGGAAUGAUACUUGGAUAUAAUCAUGGAAUGGAGUACAUCCGAUUCUUAAGUUUUGGCACAUUCUUCUAUGAGGCCAAAAGAGAAACUUAAGGAUCAUAUACUCUAUUCCAAGAUCAUAUCCAAGUAUCAUUCCUGGAAGUAAA